GACGAACGCUGGCGGCGUGCUUAACACAUGCAAGUCGAACGAUGAAGCCGGAGCUUGCUCUGGUGAAUUAGUGGCGAACGGGUGAGUAACACGUGAGUAACCUGCCCUUGACUCUGGGAUAACUGCGGGAAACUGUAGCUAAUACCGGAUACGACCCUCGGAGGCAUCUCCUGGGGUGGAAAGAAUUUCGGUCAAGGAUGGACUCGCGGCCUAUCAGCUCGUUGGUGAGGUAAAGGCUCACCAAGGCGACGACGGGUAGCCGGCCGGAGAGGGUGACCGGCCACACUGGGACUGAGACACGGCCCAGACUCCUACGGGAGGCAGCAGUGGGGAAUAUUGCACAAUGGGCGCAAGCCUGAUGCAGCAACGCCGCGUGAGGGAUGACGGCCUUCGGGUUGUAAACCUCUUUUAGCAGGGAAGAAGCGAAAGUGACGGUACCUGCAGAAAAAGCACCGGCUAACUACGUGCCAGCAGCCGCCGUAA
rnacentral:rRNA from 1 species